rnacentral:misc_RNA from 1 species
GAUGAAGAACGCAGCGAAAUGCGAUAAGUAAUGCGAAUUGCAGAAUUCCGUGAGUCAUCGAAUCUUUGAACGCACAUUGCGCCCUCUGGUAUUCCGGGGAGCAUGCCUGUUCGAGCGUCAUUACAACCCUCAAGCUCUGCUUGGUGUUGGGCCCCGCCGCCCCGGCGGGCCCUAAAGUCAGUGGCGGUGCCGUCCGGCUCCGAGCGUAGUAAUUUUUCUCGCUUUGGAGGCCCGGGCGCGUGCUUGCCAUCAACCCCCAAUUUUUUUCAGGUUGACCUCGGAUCAGGUAGGACUACCCGCUGAACUUAAGCAUAUCAAUAAGCGGAGGA